CCUUGCCGCCCAUCCGCCCAAGGGGUUGGGUUUCCCCGUGUACCCAAGCUUGGAUCUAGGCGACAAGUUACCGUUCUGUCGCCUAGAUCCAAGCUUGGGUACACGGGGAAACCCAACCCCUUGGGCGGAUGGGCGGAUGGGCGGCAAGGCUGAAUUGAGAAGA
rfam:Anopheles epiroticus strain epiroticus2 unplaced genomic scaffold supercont1.246, whole genome shotgun sequence.